AUUGAACGCUGGCGGCAGGCCUAACACAUGCAAGUCGAGCGGCACGGCGGAAGAGGAAGUGCUGACGAGGAAUCUACCUGGUAGUGAGGGAUAACGUACAGAAACGGGCGCUAAUACCGCAUGCUAUCAGGUGAGCCUCGGUCGGAUUAGCUGGUUGGUGGGGUAAAGGCCUACCAAGGUGACGAUCCGUAACUGGUCUGAGAGGAUGAUCCGUCACACUGGAACUGAGACACGGUCCAGACUCCUACGGUAGGCAGCAGUUGGGAAUAUUGGACAAUGGGCGCAAGCCUGAUGCAGCCAUGCCGCGUGAAUGAAGAAGGCCUUCGGAUUGUAAAGCACUGUCAGUGGAGAAGCGUUACCCACAGAAGAAGCAACGGCUAACUCCGUGCCAGCAGCCGCGGUAAUUC
rnacentral:rRNA from 1 species